UACGGAGGGUGCAAGCGUUGCUCGGAAUCAUUGGGCGUAAAGCGCACGUAGGCGGCCUGUUAAGUCGGGUGUGAAAGCCCUGGGCUCAACCCAGGAAGUGCACUCGAAACUGGCAGGCUUGAAUAUGGAAGAGGGUCGCGGAAUUCCCGGUGUAGAGGUGAAAUUCGUAGAUAUUCGCAAGAACACCAGUGGCGAAGGCGGCUCACUGGCCCGAUACUGACGCUGAGGCACGAAAGCGUGGGGAGCAAACAGGG
rnacentral:rRNA from 1 species